UACGUAGGGUGCAAGCGUUGUCCGGAAUUAUUGGGCGUAAAGAGCUUGUAGGCGGUUUGUCGCGUCUGCUGUGAAAUUUCGGGGCUCAACCCCGAACUUGCAGUGGGUACGGGCAGACUAGAGUGUGGUAGGGGAGACUGGAAUUCCUGGUGUAGCGGUGAAAUGCGCAGAUACCAGGAGGAACACCGAUGGCGAAGGCAGGUCUCUGGGCCACUACUGACGCUGAGAAGCGAAAGCAUGGGGAGCGAACAGG
rnacentral:rRNA from 1 species